rnacentral:tRNA from 1 species
GCCCGCGUGGCGUAAUGGUAACGCGUUCGACUGUAAGUUGUUCUUAUUCACAAAGUCGAAAACAACAUCACUAACUCAAUACCUCAGUCUAAUCGAAAGAUUGCGGGUUCGACCCCCGCCGUGGGUU